rnacentral:rRNA from 1 species
UAGGGAAUAUUGCAAAAUGGGCGAAAGCCCGAUGCAGCAACGCCGCGUGGGCGAUGAAGGCCUUCGGGUCGUAAAGCCCUUUUUGAGGGGAUGAGGAAGGACAGUACCCUCAGAAUAAGCCUCGGCUAACUACGUGCCAGCAGCCGCGGUAAAACGUAGGAGGCGAGCGUUAUCCGGAUUUACUGGGCGUAAAGCGCGUGCAGGCGGAUUGGAGAGUUGGAUGUGAAAGCUCCCGGCUUAACUGGGAGAGGUCGUUCAAUACUUCCAUUCUUGAGUGCAGUAGAGGGAAGUGGAAUUCCGGGUGUAGUGGUGAAAUGCGUAGAUAUCCGGAGGAACACCAGUGGCGAAAGCGGCUUCCUGGACUGUAACUGACGCUCAGACGCGAAAGCUAGGGUAGCAAACG